rnacentral:rRNA from 1 species
UACGUAGGGUGCGAGCGUUAAUCGGAAUUACUGGGCGUAAAGCGUGCGCAGGCGGUUUUGUAAGUCAGAUGUGAAAUCCCCGGGCUUAACCUGGGAACUGCGUUUGAAACUACAAGGCUAGAGUGUGGCAGAGGGGGGUGGAAUUCCACGUGUAGCAGUGAAAUGCGUAGAGAUGUGGAGGAACACCGAUGGCGAAGGCAGCCCCCUGGGUUGAUACUGACGCUCAUGCACGAAAGCGUGGGGAGCAAACAGG